CCCACGUGCCAAUGAGGAUCGUGUUCUGGCUCACUGUUGGCGUCCUUGGAGAAGUCAGUGCUCUGAGCAGAAAGGAGGACACCGCUGGUGCCAGCAGACAGACUUCCAGAUUCUGAAAUGCAGAAGUGUUUUUAAUGCCUAAGAGUUGUGACUAGCAAGAAAAACCUCACCAAAACUCAUUGAACUGUUGCUGCUGUGUAAAGAUAACAGCAAGACUUGCUUCUUCUUUUCUUCACUGCCUGCUGCACUGGGAUAUUGGAAAGAAUCAUUCAUGGAAUUGCCCAUCUAAUGCUGCAGCUGUGCUGACUUCUGGCUGCUUCUUGGCUGCAGAAACCAGGCUGCUGGGCUGCUCCUUCCCUGGUGUCUGAGUUCUGAACCUCAAAGUGGCUGUGGAAAACCUUCCUGAGAAGCGAUGGCAUGAAGAGGAGGAGCUGCACAAGCACUCUCAGGUUGGGUUGCUGAUGCUAUCUGGCUGUUGAUAAUUGCUAGCGGAAACGGUUGGGCUGUCGUAAGCAAACUGCUGGUGUUCUGAGCUGUUAGAUGCAUCUCUGCUCUUGCUCUGAUGACUUUGAGUGAGGAGGGCAAUUAAGCCACAGGU
rnacentral:lncRNA from 1 species